ensembl:lncRNA
AUGCCUUGUGCUCUGAAGAAUGUUCCACACUUGCAGAAAAAAAGGUUAAAGGAAUGUAAAAAAAAUCUGGGUGCACUACGGAACUGGAGAGAUAAAACAUCCUUUCUUUCUGACCAUCUUGUCAUUUUUUGUACUCAGCAUCUUUGCAAAAUGACUUUCAUCAGAAGAAAAGCUGUUGGCUGGGAUAAAUGUUCCAGACAAAGGAUCUGGUUGACUGAUGGAGAAUUUCUGUUUUUGUACUUCUCGGCUAAUUUGCUCCUUUGAAACAAGACAAAAAGCAAAUAGUUGCUAUUGAAGUUAGUCAAGAAAGUUAAAAUCUACUUCUACUUAAUUUACUUGUUCUUUCCACUGACCUACCAAGGAUUGUCUAUCUUUUGGAGUCAAGUGUUACUUGCUUAGAUGUUUUCUGUUGCUGAACUGUCUGAGGAAGAAGUAAAGCUGUACCAAUACUACUAGAAUAUUACUUAUUAAAACUUGAAGUGAAAAUAUGAAAUCAGAGUAAUGCUGAGUGUUUCUGUAAGAAAUUUUUCAUUCAGUAACCCACACAUUCAUGUCUGAGGACAAAUAUUAAAAGACACUUCAUCAGUACAGUGAUCUAUCAGGAAUAGCAAAUGCUCCUAGGAUCACAAAAGAAUCCCUACCCAAUGCUACCAAUGUCAUCAGCAAACCUCUGGUAAUUUGCAGCAGAGCUAGGAUUUCCUUCCUGGACUAACUGCAGUUAGGCAAUGGAUUUCUAGCACUGUAACCAAGUACAGCAUUUUCAGACAGUCUGUGAGCUUGCAUUUUUCGCAGGACAUAAAGCAAAAGUACAACCACAGGGCUGAACUCUUAGUCUGAGAGCUUUAUGUCACUGUAGAGGUUAAUUAGGUGCUUUGCAAGGAAAUAUUCUGUAGAGCAGGAGAGGAGGUGGUCAGCUCUUCCACAUGCUGUCCCAAUUCUCUUUGGCAUCUGCAGCACCAUACCACAGGGCAUGAAAUCAGUGCAAGGAACACCAGUGGAAAACUGCUACAACAAACCAGAAAAACAGGGGUUUAUGCAAUUUUUCAUAAGCACUUUCACCCCCUACAUAAAACACAUAGCUAAUGUUCUUGUCUUUCACUUGAGCACUCCUAAACUGUCAGGUAUAUUUCUGUUUUGAAGAGAAAGCUCUUUUCUCUUCAAAACUUCUAUGACACACAACAGCAUAAAGAAUAAGGAGAAUAUUGCCUAUGCUUCCUUGGGAUGAUUGUCAGGGUAAUGGAGAAUAAAAGGUAAAGACAAAAAUGAAGAAAGCUCA